CGCUGUGCUUAACCGGCCAUUAACCUUUCCGGUCCACGAAUAGGGAUAUCCAGAUUGUCUGGAUCCUGAGUGGGAACUCUUGUCCACUCUGUUUGAUGCCUCCCUGUAGACUCGUGACAAGCCGCUCUCUGGAGCGGCUUCUUUUUU
rnacentral:sRNA from 1 species